AACCCGUGAUGAGGACAGUCUCUCUGAUAUCUCUUGAACCUUUCCCACGCAGCCUUGAAAGAUUCUGUCAGAUUCUGAACGAACAUUGAAAUCUUAGCUCGUAGAU
rfam:Arabis alpina cultivar Pajares chromosome 2, whole genome shotgun sequence.